UGAAUACGAGAUGCUACGGCGUCGAAGCAGUCUAUGUCAUACUUCCAAGAAAAGCUUGCACUGUCAUAAACAAAUAAUGCCUGUGCCAUAACCGACACAGGUGGGUAGGUAGAGUAUACUAAGGGGCGCGAGAUAACUCUCUCUAAGGAACUCGGCAAAAUGACUCCGUAACUUCGGGAGAAGGAGUGCCUUAUUUAUAAGGUUGCAAUAACAAGAUCCAAGCAACUGUUUACCAAAAACACAGGUCUCCGCUAAGUCGUAAGACGAUGUAUGGGGGCUGACGCCUGCCCAGUGCCAGAAGGUUAAAGAAGUUGGUUAGCAUCCGCGAAGCUGAUAACUGAAGCCCUGGUGAACGGCGGCCGUAACGAUAACUGUCCUAAGGUAGCGAAAUUCCUUGUCGGGUAAGUUCCGACCCGCACGAAAGGCGUAAUGAUUUGGAUACUGUCUCGGAGAGGGGCUCGGUGAAAUAGACUUGUCUGUGAAGAUGCGGACUACCUGCACCAGGACAGAAAGACCCUAUGAAGCUUUACUGUAACCUGAAAUUGAAAUUGGACUUUACUUGCGCAGUAUAGGUGGGAGGCGUUGAGAAUAUUCUUGCGGGAUUAUUGGAGCCAUCAGUGAGAUACCACUCUUGUAAUGUUAGAUUUCUAACUUUGUAUCAUUAUCUGGUCAAAGAACAGUUUCAGGCGGGCAGUUUGACUGGGGCGGUCGCCUCCUAAACGGUAACGGAGGCGCACAAAGGUUUCCUCUGAACGGGUAGAAAUCGUAUCUAGAGUGUAAAGGCAUAAGGAAGCUUGACUGUGAGACCUACAAGUCGAGCAGGGACGAAAGUCGGUCUUAGUGAUCUGACGGUGCUGAGUGGAAAGGCCGUCACUCAACGGAUAAAAGUUACUCUAGGAUAACAGGCUGAUCUCCCCCAAGAGUUCACAUCGACGGGGAGGUUUGGCACCUCGAUGUCGGCUCAUCGCAUCCUGGGGCGGUAGUACGUCCCAAGGGUUGGGCUGUUCGCCCAUGAAAGCGGUACGCGAGCUGGGUUCAGAACGUCGUGAGACAGUUCGGUCCAUAUCCGGUGUAGGCGUUAGAAUAUUGAGAGGAGCCUUCUUUAGUGCGAGAGGACCGAGAAGGACAUACCUCUGGUGUACCAGUUAACGUGCCAACGGUAAACGCUGGGUAGCUAUGUGUGGAGUGGAUAACCGCUGAAAGCAUCUAAGUGGGAAGCCCACCUCAAGAUAAGUAUUCUC
rnacentral:rRNA from 1 species